AUGUUAGCAUUAGUUGAACUGGAAUUGGACAGUCGAAAUGGUUCUGACAUUAUCAUGACAUAUCUGAAUGAGCAUGGUGGCCUACCAAUGUUGGCGGACUUCAACUUCUGCUCCCCAUUGCAAAUUAACUUUGCAAACAGAUUUCCUAAUAUGUGUAAGAAUAAUGCCAAAGGAAGAAAAUAACAGAUAAAAGAAGACAUCUUAUAUUGAAGCGAAAGCAUAAGCUACAUCCAGGCACACAUCUUCACAUAGUAGAGUGCCUUUCUGGAAAGAAUAUUGCAUGAUGCUUAGAUAGAUUUUUGGUGAGUGGGAUAGGGAUAAUCUGGUUUUGCACUGUCAAGUACUAUAACUAUUUAAAUUUCUGUUUGUGGCUGUUUGGAUUUAAAUUAAUUAAAAUUACAAAGAAAUUUAUUUUUCUCAUAGUAGGAAUUAAAGAAACAGAAAACUGAUUUAAAAACCAGUAAUAAGAAAAUAGUAAAAAAAAAAAUCAGUAAUAAGAGGAGAGAGUGGUUUCUGUAUUAUAAUAUAUUGCUUAAUUAACCCUGUUUUAUAUGUGGGAGAUUAUGUGUCAAAUAUAUAUUAUUUUAUCCUAGAUAAUAUUCGGGUUUCUUUAUUUCUAAUUAUUGUUCAACAUUAAAAAUAUGUCCUUGUCUGUAUUGCUUUUCUUCUUCUCUUAGCCAAGAUGAAGACCCCCGCCUUUUUUUUUUUUUUUUUUUUUUUUUAUCUUUUUAGGGCCACACUCACGGCAUAUGGAAGUUCCCAGACUAGGGAUAGAAUCGGAGCUAUAGCCACUGGCCUACGCCACAGCAAUUAGGGAUCUGAGCUGCAUCUGCGACCUAUGCCACAGUUUACCACAUCACCUAACCCUUAAACCACUGAGCAAAGCCAGGAGUCAAACCUGCGUCUUGUCCUCAUGGGUACUCAUCAGAUUUGUUUUCGCUGAGCCACGAUGGGAACUCCAAGACACUUUUAAACAAUGCAAGAUCUAUAAUCAUUCAUCUAUUAUCCAUCCAUCCAUAUAUAUUCCUAUAAAUUUAUUUACCUUCAUAAAUGUACAAAAAAUUAAGAAAUAAUUGGAAAUGUACAAUUUUCUAUCCAUUAUUUAAGUAACUUGAGUUGAAAAAAGUCCUCUAGUAGACCACAGGAGAUGUAUCUCUGUAACCAUGAAAGAUAUAGGUGGAGUUAGUUAUAGAUAUCAGACAUUCUAUUAAAUGAAAU
rnacentral:lncRNA from 1 species